rnacentral:rRNA from 1 species
AAAUUGAAGAGUUUGAUCAUGGCUCAGAUUGAACGCUGGCGGCAGGCCUAACACAUGCAAGUCGAACGGUAACAGGAAGCAGCUUGCUGCUUUGCUGACGAGUGGCGGACGGGUGAGUAAUGUCUGGGAAACUGCCUGAUGGAGGGGGGUAACUACUGGAAACGGUGGCUAAUACCGCAUAACGUCGCAAGACCAAAGAGGGGGACCUUCGGGCCUCUUGCCAUCAGAUGUGCCCAGAUGGGAUUAGCUUGUUGGUGAGGUAACGGCUCACCAAGGCGACGAUCCCUAGCUGGUCUGAGAGGAUGACCAGCCACACUGGAACUGAGACACGGUCCAGACUCCUACGGGAGGCAGCAGUGGGGAAUAUUGCACAAUGGGCGCAAGCCUGAUGCAGCCAUGCCGCGUGUAUGAAGAAGGCCUUCGGGUUGUAAAGUACUUUCAGCGGGGAGGAAGGUGUUGUGGUUAAUAACCGCAGCAAUUGACGUUACCCGCAGAAGAAGCACCGGCUAACUCCGUGCCAGCAGCCGCGGUAAUACGGAGGGUGCAAGCGUUAAUCGGAAUUACUGGGCGUAAAGCGCACGCAGGCGGUCUGUCAAGUCGGAUGUGAAAUCCCCGGGCUCAACCUGGGAACUGCAUUCGAAACUGGCAGGCUUGAGUCUUGUAGAGGGGGGUAGAAUUCCAGGUGUAGCGGUGAAAUGCGUAGAGAUCUGGAGGAAUACCGGUGGCGAAGGCGGCCCCCUGGACAAAGACUGACGCUCAGGUGCGAAAGCGUGGGGAGCAAACAGGAUUAGAUACCCUGGUAGUCCACGCCGUAAACGAUGUCUACUUGGAGGUUGUGCCCUUGAGGCGUGGCUUCCGGAGCUAACGCGUUAAGUAGACCGCCUGGGGAGUACGGCCGCAAGGUUAAAACUCAAAUGAAUUGACGGGGGCCCGCACAAGCGGUGGAGCAUGUGGUUUAAUUCGAUGCAACGCGAAGAACCUUACCUGGUCUUGACAUCCACGGAAGUUUUCAGAGAUGAGAAUGUGCCUUCGGGAACCGUGAGAC